GGCGGUUCUUGGGUGAUGAACCCUGGUAUUGGGCUUCCUCCUCUCUGGUUCCAGGUGCGUCACCCGAGAACUGCA
rfam:Myotis brandtii contig239415, whole genome shotgun sequence.